GUGCCAGCAGCCGCGGUAAUACGUAGGGGGCUAGCGUUGUCCGGAAUCAUUGGGCGUAAAGAGCGUGUAGGCGGCCUGGUAAGUCCGCUGUAAAAGUCAAAGGCUCAACCUUUGAAUGUCAGUGGAUACUGCCGGGCUAGAGUCCGGAAGAGGCGAGUGGAACUCCUGGUGUAGCGGUGGAAUGCGCAGAUAUCAGGAAGAACACCAACGGCGAAGGCAGCUCGCUAGGACGGUACUGACGCUGAGACGCGAAAGCGUGGGGAGCGAACAGGAUUAGAAACCCCUGUAGUCC
rnacentral:rRNA from 1 species